AUUCGUGGUGGUGCGCGACGGGCAGGUGCUGGCGGAGCUGGCGCUGCCGGUGGCGGGGCUGAUGUCGCUGGAGCCGUUCGAGGCGGUGCGCGCGCG
rnacentral:tRNA from 1 species